GUUCUUGUAGCUCCAACCUCUCCAAGCAUAAAGAGGAAGACACCCGUGCCCCUUCCAUCAGGACUGACGUUCCUAGUGAAGGAGACAACGGGUGAAAGGCUUAAGUCAACGCCAGAACUCUGCACAAGUGCUGCUGUCACCUCUGCAUGCAAAGUGCUUGCCUUUGAGGACCGUAGUGAAAAUGUUCCUUCAGCUCAGCCACCUGUUCCUGUUCUCCUGCCUGUGCAUGACCAUGACAUGAGCAGCUGGAGCUGUUGUCAACACCAGAAGCUGUGGAUGAGGAUGGAGCUUCAGGAUCUCGGGCUGUGGCCUGGGUCUCGUUCAGUGCGUAACCCAGGGAACUCAAUUUCACUAUGGCGUCUUCCUCCACAACCUGAGCUUGUUGAUAUGGCGUCUGAACUCCCAUCCCCUAACUUCUUCCAGCUACACCCAUUUUUCAUCUGGAAGCCGGAGACUCACUUUAUGGUCAGGUUAAGAAACACUUACAUCUGGCCAU